rnacentral:rRNA from 1 species
GACGAACGCUGGCGGCGUGCUUAACACAUGCAAGUCGAACGGAAAGGCCCUGCUUUUGUGGGGUGCUCGAGUGGCGAACGGGUGAGUAACACGUGAGUAACCUGCCCUUGACUUUGGGAUAACUUCAGGAAACUGGGGCUAAUACCGGAUAGGAGCUCCUGCUGCAUGGUGGGGGUUGGAAAGUUUCGGCGGUUGGGGAUGGACUCGCGGCUUAUCAGCUUGUUGGUGGGGUAGUGGCUUACCAAGGCUUUGACGGGUAGCCGGCCUGAGAGGGUGACCGGCCACAUUGGGACUGAGAUACCGCCCAGACUCCUACGGGAGGCAGCAGGGGGGAAUAUUGCACAAUGGGCGGAAGGCUGAUGCAGCAACGCCGCGGGCGGGAAGACGGGCUUUGGGUUGGAAACCGCCUUCGCCUGGGACGAAGCGGGAGUGAAGGUAAUGGGUAAAGAAGCACCGGCUAACUACGUG